rnacentral:lncRNA from 1 species
GUAGAGUGGGAAAAGAAAAAUCAAGAAGAUGAAGGGUGAAAGAGAGCAGAAAUUCAGGAACAAUGAAGAGAAAAAUAAGAAAGUAAAAAAAAGGGAAAAAAAUAUAAACAUAAUAUUUGAUAACCACCCCAAUCCCUUAUUUCUCUCCAUCAAACUCCCCACUAAAUCCACUAAUUAGAUUUUUAGUCCAUCUCAAACUCUCCUGGACG